rnacentral:lncRNA from 1 species
CCUGAUUGUUGCUCUCCUGUUGCCGUUGCCGAGCACAGGGGGUGGUCGCCGGCGGCUCCAUUCUCGACCCAGCUGCUGCCCUGCAUGCAGCCACCCUUGGAGACCACCCGCCACCACGACCGUCGUUGUCCAUCCCCUACAUCGACGGUGCUCAAGCGGCUCUUCUCACUGGCUCCUACGACUCCCUCAUUCGCCAUGGAUACAACCAUCAUGUACUGCAGUGUUCCUUUGCAAGUUCAAUCUGUAUCAUAGCACGAGUUCAGAAGUUUCAUUUUGUGAAGAAGCAUGCAAAUUCUCAGUGCAGGUGUGGAGAACCAAAAAGUUAUAAUAAUGGUGAAUCAGAAGUUCAAGCAUAGUAAUCUGGGGGCGUGGGGGCAACUGCUGAUAGAGACCGAGUCAAAGUGUCGUGACUGCUGAUGCAGAUCUUCAGCAUGGACUUUGAUGGAGAUACUCCUCUAAUGGUAAUGCCCAUCUGCAUUUGAAUUAACAAAAAAAGUUACAUAAUUUUGGUUACUCUAUACUUGUAAGAUCUUCAGUUCCACGGAUAUUUGUACUACUACACUUUGAACUGAUGGAAAAUUACAGUCCUACUUCCAGAAGAUAUGAGUGAGAUGCGAUGGGACCUGACCAGAUGCUGAUGUUGGACUAGAAAAUUUAGUGAAAAACUAUUCUGUACUAAAAGAACAACUAUGCUUUGUCGGACAAGCACAAUACGAGGUAAUGGAAAGCUCCAAUGCCCACCUACAAUAUAUUUUGUCCUGAGAAAAAAUUACACAAGAGUGCUAGGAUGUUCAAAUAAAAAUAGUACACACGUGUGGUGUCGUUUAUAUAAUUUUGUAAAGAAGAUCUAUAUGUGUAAGUUAUCUGAUAAAAGAAAGAAGAAAAUCAACUUGCAAAUUUAGGGAAACAUGUGUACCUUGAGAGAAGUUCAUAGAAUAAAUGCUAGGAGGUUCAUUUGAUGUUCGUUUAAGAUGUCCUCAAUGCAAGUUGGAGGGCUGGUAAGUUCUACUACUAGUCUACGCCAAGUGCCAAGUUCAGGGGCAUUGCCCACUGAUGGCGAGGACAACGAGCCAACGACGUCGGAUCAUAGGUCGAAGAGGUGUUUCUAUGUUCCUAUAGCAUGAACAGGUGCUUGUUGUUAUGCCUGAUAAUGAUGUUGUACACAAAUGGCUUAUGGGAUAUCAGGGUAAUGUGCAUACAAAUGAUUUUAGGUUAAUAUUAUUUGAUUUGACUACAGUACACGAAGCCUCUACCUAUGUAGGAUGUAAGAGGGUUGACGGAUCCAUGCCGCACAAGCACUGGUGCUCUGCUUUCUUCUUACUUUGUGUUCUAAUUUGCUUUCUUCUUAUUUUCAGCUUGCGAGAAACAAAAAGAAGUUAAAAAAAUGUUGUGCCCGGAGUUCAUAUUAUUUGCUACCCCGUGAUGUACGUCUCUAAUUUCUCCCUCCAAAUGUGUUGGCCCAUGUGGUUGCAUUUUCUAUUUUUUUUCGUUUUGGAUAUACAAAAAAGGUUAUUGAAGCUCAAAUGUGAUAAGCACAUAAGUUCAGAUUUCCAAUGCUACAAAGUUCACGUAUACCUCUCUGUUUUAAUCGUGGCAUACAAAUUUUGCACUACGAGAAAGUUCAGAGGCAAGAGCGUAGAAAAUAAAGAACACAAAAAUAUCAACAAAAAAUUCACUAGGAGAAAAGUUAGUCAGGAUAUGCAAGAAAAACUCUUAUUUUAUUUCAUUUCAAAUUCAAAUUCUAGUUAAGUUUCAUUUCUUAUUUUAAUUUAGUCAAGUUUCUUAUUUUAGUUUAGUUCAAUAUCUAAUUUUUGUUCAGUUCAAUUCUUAUUUUAGAAAAAAAUGAAUUGUUUCUUUAUCUACAUUCUUCUAUUCAACAUCGGGGAGAAGGUGCCUCAUGGUAAAAGCGUGCCAAGAUUUUCUAAGUACCCCAGGCCCAUCCUGUCCUCUAUACAGAUUCUAGAGUUUAACACAUCAAAUGGAAGUUUGUUCUCAAAACUGAAAUUGUUCUGCAUGUACUGAUAGAUUAGUUGUUAACUAUUGGAGUGUUUCGUUCUUGCAGAAUAAAAAUAAGAUGUAUGCAUUGCUUCUUGGCCCAGCUUGAGAGAACCCUCAUGUUAAAAAGUAUAAAGCAGUUUUGGUAGCUCAGGCUUCUUUAUGUUUUGGAGAUCUACAGAGUGACUAUCUGAGAGCUGUGCUGGACUUUCUCAUUACAGCAUGGAACUUCUCUAGAAAUCCCAGUUGAUUUUUAAUGUUUGUUCCUCAUCACUUCUAAAAAUCUUAGAGCAUCCAUCCAACUAUGUAUCAGGAUAUACUAUGUUGUAAAUUUAUGUAUGCUUGUAUGUGCAAAAAUAUAUUACGGUUGUUGCUUCUAUUUCUUGUGGUGAGGAUGUUGUAAGUUCAACACGACGUCCCAGAUAAUCUAGGAAAUAAUCUCAAACAAAAAGAAACCCCACGGAAAUUCAAAUGAUAAAAGUUCAUGUUGUAAAAUGAGAGAAGUCCAAAACAUAAUUGCA